CUAAUUUCUAUUGUGAUUUUAAAUAUUAAAAAUUAAAAAAUAAUUUCAAAUUAUUUUUUGUGCUCGCGGCCUAUACUAAAUAUUAUUGAAAUUUCUUUUUGUACUUCUCGGCUCUGUGUAGAAAAAAUUUAUUGAAUCUCAAAAUUACAAACACAUAUUGAUUUAUUUAAAAAAAAAAAUCACUAAAAAUAAAUGGUUAUAAAUAAAAAAAAUAAAUUUAUGAAUUUCAAAGAAAAAAUUCCUAAAAAGGAUAAAUUACACAUGAAAAUAAUAAAAACAAAAACACUAAAUAGAAAAAUAUAAAAAAAAAAAGUAAAUUUCGGGUGUGUAUUCUUUGUAAAUUAUUUGUGUAAAAAAAAAACUUUUGUAAAUCUAUGUAAAAAAAAAUUUCUAAUUAUUUUUCUGUUUUUUUUAUAUAAUUAAAAAUACACAACAGAUAUACAUAUAAUACAAGUAUAAAUAUAUAUGUACAGUUUAAUAUUUAACCCAUAUAUUUAAAAACAAAGAGAAAAAAUAUUGUAAAAAAAAAAUUAAAAAAAAAAUUAUAGAGGAAUUUUUCUAUAAAACACAAAAAAAUAAAUAAAUAAAUAAAACCUAUAGAAUUAAAAAAAAGGAUAAGGUUUGCAACAUAAAACAAAAAAAAAUAUUUAACGACGACAACGACGACAAUAACACAAAAAAAAUAUAUAUAUAGGAACAGAAGAAAAUAAUAACAACAAUAAUGAGAAAAAUGUUGGGACAAUAAUGAGAAACACACAAAAAAUUCGUUAAAAUUAGUUAUAAAAAAAAAAAAAACAGAUAUUACUAUUAAAAGGGAAGAAGUUUUGGGGGCGGGAGUGGUGAAAUGAAAAAUUUUUGGGUUUAAUUAAGGAAACAUUUAAUUAAAAAGUAAAAAAACAACAAAAAAAACAGCAAAAACCAUUAACGUACCUUUAAAUUUUCCUAUGUUAAACAGAAAAAGCAAAAAAAAAAAAAAAAUAAGGAGGAAAAGUGAAACAAAACAAAAAACACAAGGACGUGAAAAAAAAUUGGUUUAUUUUUGAUUUUUUUUUUGUGUUACUAAAAAAAAAUCCUCAUUCUAUUUUAUAUUUUAUUAAAAUAAAUCAGAAAAAAAAACAACAGAAAAAAUAAAACAUAAACAACGAAGGAACGUGUAAUUUUUUAUCUUUUUCACCUACCUACCCACAUAAAAAAUCUACAUAUUCUUACAUUUUAUAUACAAACAUUAUUUAUAUAGUCAACUCACGCACAAACAAAGGAAUAUUUAGAAAAAUAGUACCCCGAGAAACGUUGAAAAAAAAAUUAAAUAAAAAACAAAAAUAUUCCGGUUAAAAUUAAAAAAUAGAAAAAGGAUACCUAUACGUAAAAUAUCCUUACCUAGAAUAUCUAACCAGCUAAAUUACAUAUACGAAUAAUUUAUAUAUAUAUAAAAAAAAUUAAAAAGAAAAUCCUUUGAUUUUAAGUGUUUGUUGCUUUGCUUGUUAUUUAAUUCUUUUCUUUUUUUUUAUUCCAAUUAUUUCAUUUUUAUUUAAUUCAUUCUUUUUUGGUAUUUAUUUUUGCUGCUUGAAAUACAAGAGUGAUUUUGUACAUGCUACAUACACCUACUUAUACUAAAUGUCCUUUUAAAAACUGAAAACAAAAAAAAUGCAUCCUUGUAAUUUCUACGUGAUACAGAAAUAAAAAAAAAAUAAUUAUUAUUUUAUUUAAAUCGAAAUAGAAAACAAAUAUAAAACAUAGAAAUAAUAACGGGCUAUAUGGUAUACCUAAGUACAGCAGCAUUAUGGUGUGUAGGUAUAUUUUGUCAACACGUUUAACAGAAAUAAAUUAAUAAAAAAAUAUCAUCUGAAAUAAUUAAUUUUUGUGUUAAAAUUGGUCUAAUAUCAGCCAAUAUAUAGAAUGUCAAUAAAACAAUUAUGAAUUGAACCGGAUUUAAAAAAAAAACACCAAAAACCAAUAUAAAAAAUCGGUUUGCAUUUGAAAGUUUACCGAAUAAAAACACAAUUUAAUUGAUUCAUUUUAUUUAGUUUUAAUUAGAAUAAUAAAAUAAAUUAAAUAAUUUAUAAAAUACCUCAAAAAAUGAUAUUCAAUAUAUAAAAACAAUUUUGUUAAAAUAAAUAAAGAAACUAAAAUCUAAAAAUUGUGUGUGUAUGAAAAAAAAUAAAUUUAUAAUACAAAAUUAAAAGAUAGGCACCACCUACUCUCUGAAUUAAAAUAGUUUUGAAAAUAAAUAUUGCGGAUAUAAAAAAUAUUUAAUUUUUAUUAUUUUUUUAAGAUAAAAAGCAGCAGUGAUUUUAAUUGAGAUCUAUAAGAACAAUAUACUUCUUUGAAAAUAAAAAUAUAAUAGCUACUUGUAAAAUAAAAUUAUGAAUAAAUAAAAAAAAAUACUUUAAGAAUAUUAAGCUUCCUGGUUUUUAAAAUUUAGUAUAAAUAUUAAAUUAAAUUAAAUGUUAAAUCAAAAUAUCAGAGUGUAUAUUGAUCUAAAUGAUUUUUAUGAUACCUAAAAGUAGAGUCCAUAGUGUCUAAAAAUAAAAAUAAUUAAAUUAUUAAAGAAAUAAAAAAAAGGAGAAUUUUAUUAAAUUUUGAUUUGAAAAACAAGAUCAAGGAUUAUCCUUAAAUAAUGAUGCUCUUUGUGGCAGUAACUUGAUACCAAAUAAUUAAAUAUCCUUAAGAUUUGUAGCACAUCUGGAAUAAAUUUGAAUGGUAUGUAUAUAAAAGCAAUGUAUGUUUUAAAUUUUAACACAAUAUGUUAAAUUCAGUUCAAAAUUACAACUAAACAUAGUUUAAAGAUAAU